rnacentral:rRNA from 1 species
UACAGAGGUGCUCAAGCGUUGUUCGGAUUCAUUGGGCGUAAAGGGUGCGUAGGCGGCGCGGUAAGUCGGGUGUGAAAUCUCGGGGCUUAACUCCGAAACUGCAUUCGAUACUGCCGUGCUUGAGGACUGGAGAGGAGACUGGAAUUUACGGUGUAGCGGUGAAAUGCGUAGAUAUCGUAAGGAAGACCAGUGGCGAAGGCGG